rnacentral:rRNA from 1 species
AGGACGAACGCUGGCGGCGUGCUUAACACAUGCAAGUCGAACGCGAAAGGGGAGCAAUCCCUGAGUAGAGUGGCAAACGGGUGAGUAACACGUGGGUGACCUGCCUUCGAGUGGGGGAUAACGUCCCGAAAGGGACGCUAAUACCGCAUGACAUCCUGUCCUUGGACGGACGGAGAUCAAAGCUGGGGAUCGCAAGACCUGGCGCUUGAAAAGGGGCCCGCGCCUGAUUAGCUAGUUGGUGGGGUAACGGCUCACCAAGGCUACGAUCAGUA